rnacentral:rRNA from 1 species
CCUAGAUUAUCUCCUCCAUCCUCCCGUUCCACUCUUACCCAUUUCCGCUUCACUGUCCGCCGGACGACGACCAAAUCCCCACGAAAUCCCUAGGGCUUCUCCGCGAGCACGGCCAGCGGGAGAGCCGAGGACAAAUUAAACCACGGAGAAAGACGACGGACCGGCGAAGGGUCCCGCAGCAGUUCGACGGGGUGAGGGCGGGGCGCGCCCGCCGGAGAAGGAGGAGAAGGUAGCAGCUACGGGAAGAUGGCGGGGGUGGAGCUGGUGGUUCUACGGGAGGCGGCGGCGACCCCGGGGGGAGACGUGAGAUCCUGCUGCUUCGACGACGAACCCGAGACACAAGGUGCAAGACAAUAGAGAAGAUGCAAUUCAAGAGUCAACAACUUUUAUCUAUAAUCCAGUUCUACAGGGUACAGGGGAUGCAAGAACAGGGGAGACAAGAUACAAGUCAAGGUCUGCAACACUUUUGUACAGGGGGGCAAUUCUUGCAACUAGAAGAUUAGGGGGGACGGAG